rnacentral:rRNA from 1 species
AGAGUUUGAUCACGGCUCAGAUUGAACGCUGGCGGCAUGCCUAACACAUGCAAGUCGAACGGAAACGAUGGAAGCUUGCUUCCAGGCGUCGAGUGGCGGACGGGUGAGUAAUACUUAGGAAUCUGCCCAAUAGUGGGGGACAACUCGAGGAAACUCGAGCUAAUACCGCAUACGCCCUACGGGGGAAAGCGGAGGAUCUUUCGGGACUUCGCGCUAUUGGAUGAGCCUAAGUCGGAUUAGCUUGUUGGUGAGGUAAAGGCUCACCAAGGCGACGAUCCGUAGCUGGUCUGAGAGGACGAUCAGCCACACUGGGACUGAGACACGGCCCAGACUCCUACGGGAGGCAGCAGUGGGGAAUAUUGGACAAUGGGGGAAACCCUGAUCCAGCAAUGCCGCGUGUGUGAAGAAGGCCUGCGGGUUGUAAAGCACUUUCAGUAGAGAAGAAAAGCUCAGGGAUAAUACCCUUGAGUCUUGACGUAACCUACAGAAGAAGCUCCGGCUAACUCCGUGCCAGCAGCCGCGGUAAUACGGGGGGAGCGAGCGUUAAUCGGAAUUACUGGGCGUAAAGCGCGCGUAGGCGGCUUUGUAAGUCGGAUGUGAAAGCCCAGGGCUUAA